AUACGUAGGGUGCGAGCGUUGUCCGGAAUUACUGGGCGUAAAGAGCUCGUAGGUGGUUUGUCGCGUCGUCUGUGAAAUUCCGGGGCUUAACUCCGGGCGUGCAGGCGAUACGGGCAUAACUUGAGUACUGUAGGGGAGACUGGAAUUCCUGGUGUAGCGGUGAAAUGCGCAGAUAUCAGGAGGAACACCGGUGGCGAAGGGGGGUCUCUGGGCAGUAACUGACGCUGAGGAGCGAAAGCAUGGGUAGCGAACAGGAUUAGAUACCCUGGUAGUCCAUGCCGUAAACGGUGGGCGCUAGGUGUAGGGGUCUUCCACGACUUCUGUGCCGUAGCUAACGCAUUAAGCGCCCCGCCUGGGGAGUACGGCCGCAAGGCUAAAACUCAAAGGAAUUGACGGGG
rnacentral:rRNA from 1 species